AACAUAUUCACAUGACAAGAGGAUCAAGAAGCAGAAAAUCAAGGAGCAGAAAAUGAACAUGUCUUUCUUGAUAUUCUUGCAAAGGUUUCAGAGUACUCUCUUAAAUUCAUUGAGCUGGAUGAGAACUUCAAGAGAUCCAUCGAGUUCAGGAUGAUCCAGGAUUAAAGAAAGCAUGUACAUUGCAGAGAGGGAGCACAAGUAAAGCCUAGCUAGAAUGGAGCACACAUUCUUCAGUGAAAAAGUUUCACCUAGAGGAGGAGGCAGAGCAGAGGAUCGCCCAACUGGAUGAGAGGGCCCACAAUGAAGCCGUUGUGUGAGUGUCUCCGCUGGCCAAUUACAGGCUAAUUUUACUGUUCAAACUGCACCUUCAGGCCAGGAGAAAAAAAAGAGGCCAAAUAAAUAACAUGGGAGGGAAACCAAGGUUCUUGACCACACCAGUUUGUCUUCCUUAAGAUAGUGUACAUCACCUAAGCCAGUGAUGACAUCCCAAGCAGUUCCAGAAUGCCUUGCAGGGUUGCAGGGAAGAGGGUCCUGGUUUGGAACAGUGGGGAAGACCUCUCUGUGUACUGUAUAGUUCGAAAGCCAUCUGAGGACAGACUAGGUACUAUAUAUACACUUUGAAGUUGGUGUUCUUUUAUAGUCCAUAAAUGAUCUUCAACACUGAUACUGUAUUGCCAGUUCUAUAUUGUAUUGCCAGUUCUAUAUUGUAUUGCCAGUUCUAUAUUGUAUUGCCAGUUCUAUACUUCAGUUCUUGGUGAUUUAUAUUGUAGAAAUAAAUGUAACCUGCGUUUUCAGACCAAUUUGGUGACUUAAGGCAAAUUAAAACCAAAUCUUCCCCAGCAUUCUAAGCUUGGAAUUUGAUGUCACUCAAUUCUCUCUACUACAUCACCAAACCCAGCACACCACCUUUAUGCCAUUUAUACCUUAGAGAGAGUUUGGCACAUGAAAGGUAAAACUGUCAGUCAGCGAGACAACGCAUCGCGCUUCAUGUUCAACAACAACUUUGGUAGCCUAGUGCGUGGCUGAGACUAAGUGGAGAACCUGAGGAAGAUGACUGUCAUUGGCUGAGGAAAACGCCUCCCUGGCACUGCAUAAGGUACACCAGCCCCAAUGGCGCCACAAACAGAACUGUAGGCAUUCAUCAUCUCAAUACCAUCUCAAUAACUUGUCUUUAAAUUGUUAAACACGUGGCAGAUCUCCAGAGGACAUAUUUCAGAUGGUAUUUCCCAUUUUAUUUAUAUUUGCUGACCCCAUGUUUGUUUUGCUUGCGGCCCCUCAUACCCCUCACCUCCAGUGUGAGCUGGUGGCUGGUGGUUGUGGCAAGUUUCCACUGGCUUCUGGGUUCCAAGUCAGUGGCUUCCCCCCUCAGUAUUUUCAGGGCACUGUUUCUCUGAAGCAAAUACCAUAAUCUCACCCAUUAUUUCGAUAAAGCGAGGACAGAAUGAAGUCACCCCAGCUCAGUCCUUCUUCCAUGCUCCAGCCUCCUUCCAUUCCCUUCCAUGCUCCAUUCAUUCCCUUCCACGCUCCAUCCAUUUCCUUCCACGCUCCAUCCAUUUCCUUCCACGCUCCACCAUCCAUCGAUUCCCUUCCAUGCUCAACCCUCCUUCCAUUUCCUUCCAUGCUCAAACCUCCUUCCAUUUGGCAAUUAAGCCCCCCACCAAAACAUUAUUCAUUCAUCAACAUGCCAUUUAGUGGCUUUAAUUAACUACAUUACCUUGGAGAAAGCCAUAUGUAUAUUGUCAUGAUGAUUGCAACCAUAUUUUAA
ensembl:lncRNA